rnacentral:rRNA from 1 species
AUUGAACGCUGGCGGCAUGCUUUACACAUGCAAGUCGAACGGUAACAGGUUAAGCUGACGAGUGGCGAACGGGUGAGUAAUGCAUCGGAACGUGCCCGAUCGUGGGGGAUAACGCAGCGAAAGCUGCGCUAAUACCGCAUACGAUCUGAGGAUGAAAGCGGGGGACCGUAAGGCCUCGCGCGAUCGGAGCGGCCGAUGUCGGAUUAGGUAGUUGGUGGGGUAAAGGCCCACCAAGCCGGCGAUCUGUAGCUGGUCUGAGAGGACGACCAGCCACACUGGGACUGAGACACGGCCCAGACUCCUACGGGAGGCAGCAGUGGGGAAUUUUGGACAAUGGGCGAAAGCCUGAUCCAGCAAUGCCGCGUGCAGGAAGAAGGCCUUCGGGUUGUAAACUGCUUUUGUACGGAGCGAAAAGGUCCUUUCUAAUACAAGGGGCUCAUGACGGUACCGUAAGAAUAAGCACCGGCUAACUACGUGCCAGCAGCCGCAGUAAAAC